rnacentral:rRNA from 1 species
GACGAACGCUGGCGGCGUGCCUAAUACAUGCAAGUAGAACGCUGAAGGAGGAGCUUGCUUCUCUGGAUGAGUUGCGAACGGGUGAGUAACGCGUAGGUAACCUGCCUGGUAGCGGGGGAUAACUAUUGGAAACGAUAGCUAAUACCGCAUAAUAGUAGAUGUUGCAUGACAUUUGCUUAAAAGGUGCAAUUGCAUCACUACCAGAUGGACCUGCGUUGUAUUAGCUAGUUGGUGAGGUAACGGCUCACCAAGGCAACGAUACAUAGCCGACCUGAGAGGGUGAUCGGCCACACUGGGACUGAGACACGGCCCAGACUCCUACGGGAGGCAGCAGUAGGGGAUCUUCGGCAAUAGACGGAAGUCUGACCGAGCAACGCCGCGUGAGUGAAGAAGGUUUUCGGAUCGUAAAGCUCUGUUGUAAGAGAAGAACGAGUGUGAGAGUGGAAAGUUCACACUGUGACGGUAUCUUACCAGAAAGGGACGGCUAACUACGUG